CCAGGGGAAUGCUUCCAGCUUUUGCUAAUUCAGUAGAAGUUGCCUGUGGGUUUGUCAUAUAUGGCUCUUAUUAUUUUAAGGUGGUAGAUCAGAGGUUUUCAGCAUGCCUCUGCCACUUGGAAAUAGCAAGAUGGUACAUAAAGAUCAACUCUGUGAGCUUUAAUCCAAGAAGGAAAUCAGGAGUCCACCAGAAUCGCAAAGGACAACCCAGAUCCCCAGGAGGAGAACCCGGCAAACAGUCCCUGUGAUGGCAUCUGCCAGAUGAAAGUGAGCGAAGCCUCAGUACGAGAGAAAUGCCGGGAGCCUCCCUCUGUGACUCACCUUUCCACUGGGCAUUGGAGCAACACAGGCCAAGGGAGAGCAUUUUGUUUCUACCAAGCUCUGGAGGUAACCUGGGGAGAGGCUUGGAGCGCUGUGAGGGACAGACACUGGGAAAAGCUGCAAACCUUUUCCCAGACCCGGAAACCAAGUGCAGGAUACCAUUUUGAAUCCAGGUACGCACAAAGUUAGUUGUUCCUUGGCGGCUCGCAUUUUAGUCUUCAGUCAAGGUUUGCAGUGUCUGCUCUGGGAUGGGGUAGGGACCUCCACAGUCAGAAUUGUGGAACACACCUCAGCAGUAGGCGCUGGAACUUUGCUCUCCUCUGUUGCAAGCCUGAGGCAGCAGGAGAGCAGCUACAUCUGUAGCUUCUCCUGGGUGGUAAGACUUGCAGCCAGGUCCAGCUUGGUGACCUGGAACUGCUCUGCGUGUGCCCCAGCCUGCUGUCCUGAUAUUAUGGUGCAGUGGGACCCUCUCUGCUCCACCCCCAGGCAGAAAUCCAGGCAUGUGUAGGACCCUGGACCAGCAGCCUGAGCCACCCACCACUCCUGGACAGAGUGUGGGGUCCAGCCUGAGCCACCCUAUCAUUCCUGGACACAGAGUGUGGGGUCCAGCCUGAGCCACCCCAUCAUUCCUGGACACAGAGUGUGGGGUCCAGCCUGAGCCACCCCACCAUUCCUGGACACAGAGUGUGGGGUCCAGCCUGAGCUACCCCACCAUUCCUGGACACAGAGUGUGGGGUCCGGCCUGAGCCACCCCACCAUUCCUGGACACAGAGUGUGGGGUCCAGCCUGAACCACCCCACCAUUCCUGGACACAGAGUGUGGUGCAGCAGGACUCUUUCCACUUCACACCUAAGCAGAUCUCCAGAUGUUCAGAGCCACCCCUCAUCUGGAUCAGCAGCCUGACACCCCAUUUAUCCUGCACAGAGGCCCUGGUACAGGGAGGCCCUCUCACUCCAUGCCCAGGCAGCUCUCCAGGCAUUUAGAAUACCUCCUCACCUGGAUCAGCAGACUGAUCCACUGCACCUGUCCUGUGCAGAGAUCCUGGUGCAGGGAAACCCUCUCCACUCCAUGCCCAGGCAGAUCUCCAGGCAUCUAGUGGGCCCAUUCUCCUGGAUUAGAAGCUUAGGCUGUCCCCCAGCCCUAUGCUGAGGACUUGGAGGCAAGGUGGUUUCCCAGCUCCAUACCUAGGCAUGCCUCUAGGCACUUGGUAGCCACCUACUGGAUUCUCUCUCAGCACUCGUGCUUGUGCUUGCUAAGUGGACCUGGCUGGUCUGGCCUUGCCCAUCAUGGCCCCUACUCCAGGUGCAGAGCAAAGAGCUCAGGCCACUGCCCAUUCCGUGGAUCUGCCUUUUGGCUGUGGAAACAGAGAGCUUCUGCCUCUGUAAACAAGCAUCCUGUAAACAAGAAUCAAAUAUAUACCCAGCCACGUGGGCUGCAGCAGGCUCUUACCUGCAAGUACCACCUACGGGCUUACAGGUUGAACUGCACAGCCCCAUAUAAAACCUGCCAAAAGAAGUGCACAGGGCUAUAGAAGCAAAGCCAAGACCCCAUCUAGCAUUAUCUAUGUCACACCCCUUAGGGAGGGGGAAAAAGAGAAAGAAAAAAAAAAGCAAUACUAUUACAAGGAAAGAAAGAAAAAGGGAAACUUCUACCUGCAUGAAAAUAAUUACAAAAUCGAGAAGUGCCAGUGUUUCCAGAUGAGAAGGAGCCAGCACAAGAAUUCUGGCACCAGAAUUAUUGGUGGAUAGGGGCCACGAUGGGCGGGGCCAGACCAGCCAGGUCCAUCUGGCAAAAUCUUCAAGUAAUGAUACCACCAAAAGAUUGCACUAGCUCUGCAGCAAUACACCCCAACCAAAAUGGAAACUCAGAAACGACAGAUAAAGAAUCAAGGCAUAGAUUGCAAGGAAGCUCAAUGAGAUCCAAGACGAAGUUGAAAACCAACACAAACUUCUAAAGCAAUCCAGGAAAUGAAGGAAGAGAUAAACAUCUUAAAAAGAGAUCAGUCAGAGCUUCCGGAAUUGAAAAACUCACUUAAGGAAUUUCAAAAUACAAUUAAAAAUUUCAUUAAUAGUACCAAGCAGAAAAAAGAAUUUCAGAGCUUGAAGACUAGUCCUUUGAACUAACCCAAUCAGACCAGAAUAAAGAAAAAAGAGUUUUUUUAAAAAACAGCCUUUGAGAAAUAUGGAAUUAUGUAAAGUGACCAAAUCCAUGAAUUGUUGGCAUUCCUGAAAGAGAAGGAGAUAAAGUAAACAACCUGAAAAAAGUAGUUGAGGCAAUAAUUCAAGAAAAUUUUCCUAAUCUUGCUAGACAGGUAAACAUCCAGAUAUAAGAAGUUCAGAGAACAUCUCUGAGAUACUUAUACAAAAUUAAUAUCUCCAAGGCAUAUAGUCACCAGACUGUCCAAGGUCAAUGGUAAAGAAAAAAUUUCAAAGGUAGCUAGAGAAAAAGGUCAGAUUACAUACAAAUGGAGCUCCAUCAGACUAACAGUGGAGUUCUCAGCAGAGACUGAGACUACUAGGGCUUGUAUGCUGCCUUCUCCAGGCUGUAGAGUUAGUGGGAGGGGACAGAGAAGGGCAAGGAUUUUAAAACUAACUAUUGGGUACUAUGCUCAGUACCUGGUGAUGGGAUCACUGAUACCCCAAACCUCAGCAUCAUGCCAUAUACCUAGGUAACAAACCUGUAUAUGUACCCUCUGAAUCUAAAAGUUAAAAAGCGAACAAACAAACAAAAUAUAACCUGAUAAAUGGUUUUCUAAAGUUUCCUCCAGAGAGGAAACUUGCACCAGAGCUCUGUUAUCUAUUCUGUUAUUCAUUAUUUUAAAAUAAAAGCCACUUUCUUUUAGUAUCAAUGCUGCUUCUGUGCAUUAUUUACUAUUAUUUUAAUUAAUCCAAUUUGACCUACUGGAACUUCCAGUGAGUACACUGUGGGCAC
rnacentral:lncRNA from 1 species